AAGACUUUAAGUUAAGUUAAACUAAUAUCCUUCAAAGUUAUAAAUAAAGAAAUAUUUAUCUUUAAGUCUUA
rnacentral:tRNA from 1 species